rnacentral:rRNA from 1 species
CCUACGGGAGGCAGCAGUGAGGAAUUUUGGACAAUGGACGCAAGUCUGAUCCAGCCAUGCCGCGUGCGGGAAGAAGGCCUUCGGGUUGUAAACCGCUUUUGUCAGGGAAGAAAUCUUCUGGGUUAAUACCUCGGGAGGAUGACGGUACCUGAAGAAUAAGCACCGGCUAACUACGUGCCAGCAGCCGCGGUAAU